AUUUUAUAUGAAAGUGUUUUAUUUGUCCUACAACAGCAAUACUGAAACUAUGCCAGUGCCACACUGUAAUGCAGAAGUAGUAGUAUAAGGUACACCUGUUAACUAAUCAUUAACACAAUUUUAUUUGUAUAGCCCCUUUCAACAUAAAAAUUACAGGGCUAUAAAAGGGCUAUCUUAAAUAAAUCAAACGUGAGUGAACAAAUGUGAAUAAAUCUGCAGAGAGCUGAUGAGCUGAUUUUAAGUCUCUAUGAAACUUUUCAACUCAUAUACUCUUUCACCAGUCUUAAAAAUAAAUACUGUGAUGGUGGUCCCGAGUUUGAUAUGUAAUGAAUCAGCUAUUAUUGUCAUGUUUUAAUGUAGUUAGUACUGUAAAACUAAAAUUGGGCUUGUUGUACAUUUUCUAUUUUAUAACCACAAGUUUGGUUAAUAUGUUAUUACAGGACAUCUCUUUUUUUGAAAAGCAUCUCCAAACUUGAAGGCUGCACAGGAACAAUUCAAUUUAUUGGUGAUGCUUACAUAGUGCAAGUAAAAUUCCAUCACCAUUAAAUGUUUAGAAGAAUUCAUCUUCAAGAUCAUAAUGAAGGGUCAGAGUGUAUCUUUACACUUUCCGUGAGGAUAUUUAAAGUAAUAUAUGAUGUAGUGUCUUUUUGUUUUGUUUCAGUUUCACUAACAUGAAUGUGGAAGUGUAAAGAGUAUGCAGCACAAGAGGCUACAAGAUCUCAGUCAUUGAAGCACUGCAGGUUAAACCACAGCCACUUUGGCCGGAGACACCCUUAUUAUCCAUGCACAUAUUUAAAUUUUCCAUGCACCUUUAAAGCUUGGAAUGCACCCCAAAGUUACCUAUGUAGAUCACAUGUUGAUCAGACAUUUCAGAGAUCUGUAGAUUCCUGGUUAGGUGAUUAAAGACAAGCUUUUCAUUGCUGAUUUUAAAAGAAGGUGACCAGCUGUCUUUUCUGAGCGUGAGGUAUUAUUAUCAUUAUAUUGUCUUGAUUAUUCCAUUAACAAAAAAAUAAAAAUAAAAAAUAAAAAAAAUUGUAAAGUGUUCAAAUUUUUCAUGAAUAUUCACCCAGAGCUAGAAAUUGCAAUUUUCAAAUUGGAUUUGUAGUUAAGAAAGAGCACCAAUCCCACGUCUCAUUAUUUCACAUUGUUUAACUAAAAUGAAUCAGGAAAUAAAAAUGCAUUUCAUGGAUUUUCCUACAUCAUAUUGUUCUGGUCCACCAAACACAUUUUUCACAUUUUACUGUAAUUCUUAAAUGUUUGCAGGUGGAAGCAGAGUUUGCCUGCAUCACCACUGUCCUACUGACAUCCAAGUUCAUGCAACAGCUAGAAUUCUGUGUGGGUUAUUUUUGGGUGCUAUAACUUUUGGUGUUUCUUCCUGUUAUUCUUUCUAUAAUAACCUUUUCUCACAAGAUUUUUUACAAAGUAAGUAGAUUGGGAAAAAUCUCCUUAAACUUAAGAUUUAAACUGUUUAAACUGAUACUUUCAGCUGCAGAAACUAUUAAAAGUUUUGGGUAUUGUGGACUUUUCAGUGAUUACUUUUUGUGUUUCUUCCUUGUAGUUUAUUUUACUAGUGUUGUUUACUGCACAAUACAACAAUAAUCUCACACAUCGCCCUUUUCUUUGCGGUAGGAAGAUGACAUUUAAACUAAAAGAGCUUGUGUACUGAAGGUGCUAAUUGUUUAUCUCACUGAAGACCCAGAAACCCUCAUAAAGGAGAACAUGAUAAGUUUAGUGGCCUCUACUUUACACAAAUUUGCUCUCUGGAAGCAAAGAGAAUGUUUUUGCAGGUUUGUGUUCUGGCUAAAGAUGUAUUUAUUUUUAUUUUUAGGAAUCUGAGAACAACCAUUAGGGAACCCACAGACGACCUUGAAAAUGUUGGACUAAUCAUUGAAUGUGUCGAAGUGCUUCAUGACCUUGGUAACAUUGCAAAUCCAGUUGCCAUUUUGUUUGGCCUCAUUUACUCACUGGUCUUGAGCUACAGUUGAGCUACUUGAGUUCAGACAAGAAACUGCAAGAAAACAGAGAAGCACUGAAAGACUGUUUAGUGUAACCUUGAAAUGGAACUGAAGAACACAUGGAACAAGGGCUUUUGUCCCCAACGAUCAACAGAACUGGAAAGUUUUGGAUCCAGACAUUGAACUACUAAUGGCCUUUGGAAAUUAUGUCCGUAUGUUUUAGCAGACUUUUAAAUUGUUCAUAUGAGGUUUUCAUUUUAUGUCGGUCAAGGAAGGGGGAAAGAUAAAAAUGGUGUCAUGGUCUGGGUGAGUUGCAGUGUUUCUCCAGCAGCUCUAGGUUUCAACCCCCAGGUGGAGCCAUAUUACCCCACCUAUUCUCCACACCUGUUGGCAAUUCAGCUGGCGGUAUUUAAGACCAGCGCUCUCAAUGAGUCUUCAUCAGAAUGUCUGGCAACCUUACUUAGUGCCAGGCCUUCAAUUUGUCUACUUGUCAUUAUUCAUUCUCAUUGUGCUGACUUAUCGUUUCUUGUAUCACAGUACCUCUCAGACCAUUCACUCAUCUGUGCAGUUCCUUACCUACCUUUUCAUCGCUGGUCACUCCGUCAUUCAGAUGACCUGCUCCACCUGCCUGCCCCCCUGCCGUCACCUCUGGUCUUGGAACUCUCGGGAACUCUGGACUGUCUGGAUCACAGUCAAAUUGACACUCACCCCGAACCCGCUGGCAGUUUUCUCCCCACGCUCCCUCCGACCUGCUCACAAAGCCUCUGACCCCAGCAUCUUUUAUCCUGAUCCCCUUCCUGCGCUGUACCAUAAUUGCCACCACUAGAAUCACAUAUAGUUACAUUUUGUAGUUUCAAUUUUUGUGUGUUUAUAAAUAAAUAUUCACUUUUGGGAAAAUCACUCAGCCUCCACCUCUGUCUGCAUUCCAGCCUGUUGUACUGGCAACCCUGCCGUGACAAAUGGAGAAUGUAACAAAGAUUGGCAUGAAAGAGGGGGAAAUGAGAGAUGUCAGAAGGGUUGUGUACCAUAUCUGAGCUGGUGAGUCCAGUCAGUCUACGUCAGAUGGUCGUCACAAAUUUGAGGAACCGGCCUUUAAGCAGCAGCCCUUUGGACUCUAUGAACAAUCAAAUCCUCUCCCUUUACCAUGACCUUGUUACGGGGUCCAAGGAGUUUCCUCAUAUUGCAGUCAGGGGAUUGUUUCACUCAGAGCAGAUGAGGACACCUUUUACCCCUGUGCUGCAGAGUUAGAGGGAGAACGCCACUCCAUCUCCUUCUACAGACUCACCAGCUGGUAUGAUGGUGCUGCCUGCAUGGUGCCACUUACAUUCUUAGAUCCUGACUCCUGUACUUCCAGACAAGGUGGAUAUUUAUGCGCUGAACACAGACCGGAGGAACGGUGUCCACACCCUGGAUGUCAGCCUCAUCGUCACCAGAGUCAUCUCUGCUGUUUAUCGCACAGAAAACAGUGAGAUGACAAGGCACUGGAGAGUCAGACUACAGCUCAGAGGACAGCGUUAUCAUGUCGGGAGAUCUGCCAGUUUCUAAAGAUGUUUGUAAAGGGUUAUGAAGAGGAAAAGAGCAGCAGCAGGAGCCCCACUCCACCAAAGAAACUGUGAAGCCUUCUCUGGAGAACUUAUUUUCUCAAGACUCUUUAAGUUUUAAGACUUCUGUCAACUGCAUUGGACAUAUGGCAGGGCUGUGACUGGAUGUUGAACCAGGGACAUCUAUUGUAGAGCCAACUGUAAAUCGAACUAAGGAUCCAUGAAGACAGUGUCAAGUGUAAAUUAUCCUCUGCUGCAUCUUAGACAACAGCAAGAAUGAACAAAGUGCGUGCCAGUUUAUGCGCGUCAUCAGGCCAGAAGGUCUUUCCAGCGCUGAAGCCAGCCACACCAGUCUUCCAUCUAGAUUCCAGGUGAUGCUGAUGACUUUCGCAAAGUGGCUACUACUUAACUGUUUGACUGAGCUUGAGUCAAUGCUGGAUUGUUGAGUUACCGAGAACUUGGAGAAGAGUGUGUCAUGGGAUUGGAGCAUUUGGGAGUUGGGAGCACAUUAACGGAAACCACUUCUUUGAAAGCUGUUUCACGAUUGUUCACAUUUAUCACUGUAAAUAAAACGCACUCUUUGGCUGGAAAAUCCUGCAUUUGGGUUCCAUUCUCGCCACACACCUUGACAUAAAUAAUAAACACUUUGAUUUAGAAACUUCA